rnacentral:snRNA from 1 species
GUGCUCGCUUCAGCAGUACGUAUACUAAAAUUGGAGUGAUGCAGAGAUUAGCAUGGCCUCUGAGCAAG